CCUACGGGUGGCUGCAGUGGGGAAUUUUCCGCAAUGGGCGAAAGCCUGACGGAGCAACGCCGCGUGAGGGAUGAAGGCCUCUGGGCUGUAAACCUCUUUUAUCAAGGAAGAAGAUCUGACGGUACUUGAUGAAUAAGCCACGGCUAAUUCCGUGCCAGCAGCCGCGGUAAUACGGGAGUGGCAAGCGUUAUCCGGAAUUAUUGGGCGUAAAGAGCGCGCAGGCGGUCGUACAAGUCGCGUGUGAAAGCCCCCGGCUCAACUGGGGAGGGUCACGCGAUACUGUUCGACUCGAAGGCAGGAGAGGGAAGCGGAAUUCCCGGUGUAGUGGUGAAAUGCGUAGAUAUCGGGAGGAACACCAGUGGCGAAGGCGGCUUCCUGGCCUGUUCUUGACGCUGAGGCGCGAAAGCUAGGGUAGCAAACGGGAUUAGAUACCCUAGUAG
rnacentral:rRNA from 1 species